rnacentral:tRNA from 1 species
GGGGGUGUGGCUCAGUGGCAGAGUGUCUGCCUAGCAGCAUGAGCCCCUGGGUUCAAUCCCCAGGGCCUCCA